rnacentral:rRNA from 1 species
GGGGACCCGCACAAGCAGCGGAGCGUGUGGUUUAAUUCGUUGCUACACGAAGAACCUUACCUGGGUUUGACAUAUAGGUUGUAGGGAACUGAAAAGGGACCGACCCUUCGGGGAGCCUAUACAGGUGUUGCAUGGCUGUCGUCAGCUCGUGUCGUGAGAUGUUCGGUUAAGUCCGCUAACGAGCGCAACCCUCGUCGUAUGUUAUAUGUGUCAUACGAGACUGCCGGUAAAAGCCGGAGGAAGGUGAGGAUGAUGUCGAGUCAGCAUGACCUUUAUAUCCAGGGCUACACACACGCUACAAUGGUCUGUACAAUGGGUAGCCAAGCCGCGAGGCGGAGCCAAUCCUGAAAGCAGGCCUCAGUUCAGAUUGCAGUCUGCAACUCGACUGCAUGAAGCCGGAGUUGCUAGUAACCGCAGGUCAGCAAUACUGCGGUGAAUACGUUCCCGGGUCUU